UGGUGGCGACCGGCGCACGGGUGCGUAACGCGUAUGCAACCUACCCUGUACUGAGGGAUAGCCCGGAGAAAUUCGGAUUAACACCUCAUAGUAUAUAUCAUUCGCAUGUUUGAUAUAUUAAAGGUUACGGUACAGGAUGGGCAUGCGUCCCAUUAGCUAGAUGGUGAGGUAACGGCUCACCAUGGCGACGAUGGGUAGGGGGCCUGAGAGGGUGGUCCCCCACACUGGUACUGAGACACGGACCAGACUCC
rnacentral:rRNA from 1 species